rnacentral:rRNA from 1 species
GACGGUUAAACAAAUAUAAGUGUCUUGUUUAAAAAAGGUAAUUUAUAAGGCAAGUAAAAAUUCUUGUAUAUUGUUAUGGGACGAUAAGACCCUAAAAACUUUAUUUUAGCGGUGGUUGUUUAGUAUUGAUAAUCAAGUUUUUUUAGCUGGGGUAGUUACUUUAGGUAGUCUGAGGUUUUUAAGAUAUCUUAGUUGAGUUUAAAGGUCUUUUAUAUAGGGAUAGCACGGUUAAGUUACUUUAGGGGUAACAGCGUAAUAUCUCCGGAGAGGCCUUAUUUAUGGAGUUGAUUUCGACCUCGAUGUUGAAUUAGAAUUUCUUUUUGAGGCAAAAAAUAAAAGAGAGGGUUUGUUCAACCUGUGAAUUUUUACAUGAUUU